UUCCUCUUUCUGACUUACUUCACUCUGUAUCACAGUUUCUAGGUUGAUCCACCUCAGAACGCUGAUUCAAAUGAAUUCUUUUUAACGGCUGAGUAAUAUUCCAUGGUGUAUAUGUACCACAGCUUCCUUAUCCAUUCAUCUGCUGAUGGGCAUCUAGGUUGC